GCCCUGGUAGUAUAGCUCGGUCUAGUAUAGACGGCUGUCGCCCGUCCGACCCGGGUUCAAAUCCCGGCCAGGGCG
rnacentral:tRNA from 1 species